CACCUGAUAGCACAUGGUGUGCACCUGCCUUUCUUAGCAACACAACACAGUAUGCCGACAGGAGUUCCCCGUUCGAUUCGGGGUUGGGUGA